rnacentral:lncRNA from 13 species
ACAAAACACCUUAAAAGAACUUUUAUUUCUCAGGAAAUCUGGGAUUUUCAGAGUGUCCUCCUUGUUAAUGCUUAUGCAUUGUUUUAAUUCAGUGAAACCAGAUUUCCCAGAAGUUCCCCACUCUGGGCUACAGUGGGAUCUUGAAGCCAUGACCUCCUGGAGCAGGACAGAAGAGUGGCACAGCAGGGGCUGAGCCGGGGUACCCUGCACAUGGGCACCCACCACAGCUGGGACACAGGCAAGGGCAAAGGUGUAGAAGGAUGGAGCUUGCAGCCUUUGACAAGGAAGACAAACAGAACAGAAUCUACAACAGGAGCAGGAAACACUUGUAAGUUUUUUUCCUUCCAGAUGUUCAUUCAAACAUUUCAGCUAACAUUUAAAAAAGCUUAAAACAGACUAACCAAAAUCACUUUUAAUCAGGUUUUGUUUCCAUGGCACCUUUGAUGUCAUAAGCUUAAUAGCUCUUCAGUGAUCCAUAGAGUCUUCCAGGAAAAAAAAAAAAAAAAAAGGCUAGACAACCUGAGUGCCAAAUGUUGAAUACACCUUUAAAAAUACCCUUUCUGAAAAGUUUUCAGGCCUC